UACGUAGGGCGCAAGCGUUGUCCGGAAUUAUUGGGCGUAAAGAGCUCGUAGGCGGCUUGUCACGUCGGGUGUGAAAGCCCGGGGCUUAACCCCGGGUCUGCAUUCGAUACGGGCUAACUAGAGUGUGGUAGGGGAGAUCGGAAUUCCUGGUGUAGCGGUGAAAUGCGCAGAUAUCAGGAGGAACACCGGUGGCGAAGGCGGAUCUCUGGGCCAUUACUGACGCUGAGGAGCGAAAGCGUGGGGAGCGAACAGG
rnacentral:rRNA from 1 species